GACGAACGCUGGCGGCGUGCUUAACACAUGCAAGUCGAACGGAAAGGCCCUUCGGGGUACUCGAGUGGCGAACGGGUGAGUAACACGUGGGUGAUCUGCCCUGCACUUUGGGAUAAGCCUGGGAAACUGGGUCUAAUACCGAAUAUUUCCUGCUGGUUGCAUGACUGGUGGGGGAAAGCUUUUGCGGUGUGGGAUGGGCCCGCGGCCUAUCAGCUUGUUGGUGAGGUUAUGGCUUACCAAGGCGACGACGGGUAGCCGGCCUGAGAGGGUGACCGGCCACACUGGGACUGAGAUACGGCCCAGACUCCUACGGGAGGCAGCAGUGGGGAAUAUUGCACAAUGGGCGCAAGCCUGAUGCAGCGACGCCGCGUGAGGGAUGACGGCCUUCGGGUUGUAAACCUCUUUCAGUAGGGACGAAGCGAAAGUGACGGUACCUGCAGAAGAAGGACCGGCCAACUACGUGCCAGCAGCCGCGGUAAUACGUAGGGUCCGAGCGUUGUCCGGAAUUACUGGGCGUAAAGAGCUCGUAGGUGGUUUGUCGCGUUGUUCGUGAAAACUCACAGCUUAACUGUGGGCGUGCGGGCGAUACGGGCAGACUGGAGUACUGCAGGGGAGACUGGAAUUCCUGGUGUAGCGGUGGAAUGCGCAGAUAUCAGGAGGAACACCGGUGGCGAAGGCGGGUCUCUGGGCAGUAACUGACGCUGAGGAGCGAAAGCGUGGGGAGCGAACAGGAUUAGAUACCCUGGUAGUCCACGCCGUAAACGGUGGGUACUAGGUGUGGGUUUCCUUCCUUGGGAUCCGUGCCGUAGCUAACGCAUUAAGUACCCCGCCUGGGGAGUACGGCCGCAAGGCUAAAACUCAAAGAAAUUGACGGGGGCCC
rnacentral:rRNA from 1 species